GUUUCGUUGUCAAGUUUUCUCUAUGUCGACCAUUUAUUUCCAUGUGAAAAAAUUUCUAGAUUGAUAUUUUUAUGAAAUUAUCAGCAAAGAUCGUUUUCAAAUUCAAAAUAUAAGAAAGAUAAUACCUGUAUGGAGAAAUCCCCAGUAUUAACAUGCAUUUGAUGAGAAGGCCUAGAUAUAUUCGGGAAAUAAAUAUAUUAUGGAGGAAUGUUUAAUUUGCUGAAAAUUUCUGUGCUGAUAUUCUUGGAUUCAAGCUGUCAUUAUGAUGAGUGCCCAUUGUAUUUCUAUUAAAGAUAAUGAUAAAGAAAAGAAAGAAUUUAGGUCUUAAAUGCUUUUCUUCAGCUGAUUUACAAUGAGUUCAAGUUCACGUACUCGCAAGAAAGGAAACCCCCAUCGUAUUUGUACUCUUGCAUUUAGGGAGAUAAAAAAAUCUGUGAAAAAUUCACAAUCGGAUACAGAAAGAAGAGUUGAGAAAGCUGCUGUAUCAAAUACUUCUGUAGACGAAAAAAGUAAAGAAAAGUCGCAGCUCGUAAACAGAAGCAAAAUUACA